AUUGAACGCUGGCGGCAGGCCUAACACAUGCAAGUCGAGCGGAGCGGCGGACGGGUGAGUAAUGCCUAGGAAUCUGCCUGGUAGUGGGGGUUAACGUCCGGAAAAGGGCGCUAAUACCGCAUACCAUCAGAUGUGCCCAGAGGGGAUUAGCUAGUAGGUGGGGUAACGGCUCACCUAGGCGACGAUCCCUAGCUGGUCUGAGAGGAUGACCAGCCACAGUGGAACUGAGACACGGUCCAGACUCCUACGGGAGGCAGCAGUGGGGAAUAUUGCACAAUGGGCGCAGGCCUGGUGCAGCCAUGCCGCGUGUGUGAAGAAGGCCUUCGCGUUGUAAAGCACUUCCAGCGGGGAGGCGUUGCCCGUAGAAUAAGCACCGGCUAACUCCGUGCCAGCAGCGGCGAUAAUUC
rnacentral:rRNA from 1 species